rnacentral:pre_miRNA from 1 species
CAUGUACUUCCUCCAUUCGAAAUUACUUGUCUCGAAAAUAGAUGUAUCUAGUACUAAAAUACAUCUACAUACAUCAAUUUUCGCGACAAGUAAUUUCGAACGGAGGGAGUACUCC